CGAGUACUGGAACUCGUGCAGUACUAACCGUUGCGGACCGCCUCCUCCGUGCCCGAUAAAGGCCGUCUUUGUAAAUUACGGGUUUCUCAUUCCCCGAAGGGUUUGUGAACAGAGUGCAGGCGCUGCUGGGCUCUCGUCAUGGAGGAAUGCCCUGGGAGGGACUGAGCUCUGGAUGCAGCCUGACCGCGGCAUCCUGCAGCCCCCUGGGCUGGAACGGGGCUGCCCCAGCACUGGGCAGUGUUGCACCGAGGCUUGGCUGCAGCUUGCUGCUCACAGCCCGGGCAUGCCUGCUAACAUGAGGUUCAGCAUCUCUGCUUCUAGCAUUGCGCUGGAGUGAUGAUGAGGAACUAUCUGGAGGGCUUUGUGUGCAAUUAGCAGAGGAACUGCUUGUUUUCAGGGGUAAUUCUGUGCGUGUUCAGAUUAAUGUUGUGUUUUGUAGCAGGACAGAGCAAGUUUGUGUACCUCCAGGUUUUCAGCAAACGGAUUUGCCUUCCUGCAGUUGCCUGUUGUCUGUGUCCAGGCUGUAAGGAGCCAGGAUCAUUUGUAUAGUGACAGUGCUUGAGCAAGCAGAGCUCACAUAUUCCCCCUCUGAUGUCAGUAUUUUCUACUCAAUCAGCUGUGUGCUGUGCUUCUUAACUUCCUGUUUCUCAGCUGAAACCCUGUGGCUCAAUGAGGAGGGAGGAGCACUCUGUCAUUUUUGGGAAGAGGGGAAGAUAGCGAGAAGCCUGAGUCAUUCAGACAUGCUCAUUACUGCAGCUCUGGCAUCCUGCAUUCUGCAGCUGGCACAUGGGCUGUUGCCUGCCCCCAGCCUUCCAGAUGAAGUGCCCUGGUACGGCAGGGUGCCUUUCCUGGCUUUGGGCACACUCCUGCUUCACAACUGCACUGCAAUGGGCUGGGUGCUGGCAGGGUGUGCUGGGAAGGCUCUAGCUUUGCCAUAGAUCUGGCUGGCUGCAGCCCUUACAUCAGUCAUUACUAUUCCAGUUUCUUUUUGUUCUUUGUCAGAAAGACCUGUUCUACAUCAGCAUUAUAAUGCAUUGCAAAGGCAUUGUUUAGUGAGCUGUUGAUGGCCCUGGACUUACUCCACCAUAUAUUGAGAAGAAGCUGUAAGGCAAAGGCUCUCUUGUGAAAGUAUUGCUUCAGAAGUGCUUGCUUGUCCCCUGUGACCAGCAGCCAUUAAAGAAGAUUCUCGUACGUCCCCUGUAGGCUAAGUAAAGCAUUGUGUUACACUUGCAUGUGUGAUGUGGAAAAAGUGCAAGCAAGAAAGCCUGUGCUAUCCAAUUUUCUAGCCUGUUAUGAAAAGCCAUUUUUUGAGGAAGGAGAUCAGAGAUGUAGGAAAUGUGUGCACGACCCUACUGUGUUUAAGAAGCCAUGUGCUGCCCUUCAGUGUGGUUACUUCUUCAGAAAAUGGGAUGUUGUCAGGCAGCCCAGGUAAUCCAUUAAAUCCACCAGUGUGUCGCUGCUGGGGACUGUUGCUUCAUCGCCAGGCUGCUGCCAGGGCACCAUCUGAGUUACACAUGGGAUUGUGUUGUCUAUCUUAGGUGUUUAUUAAUCUCCUUGCCGGUCAGGCUAUUUGCUUCUUGUUCUCUUUUUGGUUGGAGCAACAAAGUUUUUUUUUGUCUACUUUGCAGUCUGGUUUAAGUUGACAAUCAGAUGUUCUCAGUGAUUUUUGGUUUUGGUAUUUGUUAUGCCUUAAAAAAGUCUUAAUACAUCCCUUUCAGGGCAGCAUAUACUACAUAUUUCUGGAGGUGUCUCUGGUGUAGCACUUUGCACAAGGUCCUGAACAACUGCAUUGCACAAGAAAGCUUUCAGAGCCUGCAGCCAAAGUGCUAACACCUGUAUCUGCUGUGUGUUCCAUAAAAAGGGCUUUUCUUUUUCAUGCAUCUUGCCACACCACAGGGCAGAGCUCAGCUGAUGUGUGAGCACUGAGUGCCUUGGCUUGUAAGACUGGAGGAUCUGUGCUGUGCUGCUUCUCAUCGUCACAGCUGCUGGUCUGUGCUGUUGCAUCACGUGUUCUCAAAACCUUUCAUCACGUCUGAAAAAUGUGAAACUUUUUCCUUGUGAGGGUACAGCUCACAUGAACACUGGAUUUGGUCGUCUUUUCCUCUAGCAGUUUCACUGUCAAAACUACACAAGCAGCUCUUCAGUCUCAUGCUGAUACUUUUACUGUGCAGAACAUGUAGGUAUACAGUGGGCAGCAUUUUGGAAGAAGGAAAAUUAGGGAGUAAGGGAUGAAUAGCUUCAUUCAGUAGAUGCUGAAGAGCUUCAAAACAGUUAUUGUUGUUCAUAACAGUUAGCAAGGCAGUGAAGCUUGUCAGCAUCAACAGGAAGUUUCGUGGAAGCCUAUGUGCCAGUGUGGUUUUGUUAAGAAAGUGUGAGGGGUAAAGGGACCGGAGAGGUGGGAGGGGUUGAAGCCCUCUGUUGGGAAGGGCAUGGGGACAGCCUCACCUGUCCGUGGGUAGACUGGGUGCCUCAGUGGGCUCUGAGGGCUCUGCAGAACUCAGCACCCACUUGGGCACUUGUGAGGGUUAAUGCUGUUCAUACAAGCCUGAGGGGGUUUGGCCAGCCUGGUCUGGUGGCUUUUGCCCUUCGGAGUGGCCACAGAGUUGUUGUUUAGGGGAGUUCUGGCAGCUGCUUGGAUAAAGAUGAGGAAAUCCACCUCUUCCUGUUGCACACAGAGUAUCCCCUACCCUCAGAGACCUUGUGAGGAAACUGAUUUGAACAAAACAGUGUUUUGAAGCUCUUCUUUUGACAGCACAAAGCUGGGCUUUUCAGUUUUCCCUGUACCUGCAUUUGGGAAAGCAGCAUGGUUCUGAGCAGGACAUGCAGUGUUGCUGUCCUGUUACUGCUGCUGGAGCGGACAGAGCCUCGGGAGGGCCAGGCGAGGAGGAACCGUACCAUUUAUCCUUAAUGUACCUUUGAUGCAGUCACUCUGUGGAGCUUGGAUAGAAGCAGGACAGAUUCUGCAUCCCAAAUGAACUACGAAAAUCCUCCACCUUACCCUGGCCCAGGCCCGUCGGCCCCUUACCCACCCUAUGCCCCACAGCCGGGUGGCCCUCCUGGCCCCUACCCCGGCUAUCCACCCGGGCCCACGGGGCCGUACCCACCAGGCCAGCCAGGCUAUCAAGGUUAUCCGCAGUAUGGAUGGCAAAAUGCACCUCCGCCUCCAGGACCAGUGUAUGCAGAUGGGCCUAAAAACACAGGUAUGCCUAGCAGCAGUGGUGCAGGGUGAUUGUGACCCUUUCCAUCUUACAGAUGCAUGACCUUGAAGUAGUGUGGUUACCAGCUUUUGGUGGAGAUGGAAACCUGUUUGAGGGAGGUAUUCUGAUUAUAUCUUGUUUUACUGCUAUCUUUUGCUGCCAAGCCUCUAAUAGUUCUCUGAUUCUUUGAAGAUACUGCUGAAGGUUCUUUAUGCUGAUCCCUCCAGAGAAUCGUUGCACUGACAUUAUUGUACACGCAUUUUGCUGGCUCUAGGUUUCCCACAACUCUUCUGCCUGUCUUUGGAUUGAUAAAAGUUUAGCUGAAGGCUGUAAAGCUAGAGCUGUUGAUAUUCAAAUGUGCAGUACUUAAUCAAUUAACAUCUGUCCAUUUUCUUGAGCCUAGACAUAGCUGUCCAAGUUAUCUUGUAUGCCAUUGAAAUAAUUCCUGGAUUUCUGUGUGUUUUGCUGAAGCUAUAAUUUUUUUGUUGUUGUUUUCCCUUUUUUGGGGGAGGAGGGGAUGUGCAGAACAAAACCAGCAGGUUUCUAGAUAAGGGAAGGAGGACAAUGUAACUUACCUUGGUAGGUAGCCGGUCCUUCUGUGUGCCACUUCCUCUCAAUAUAGCAUGUUGAUUUAAUGUGGAUGCUUGUAGCUCUCUUGGGGCUCACUGCAGUGCCUGGUGCAGGCUUGAAUUGUCAGAGUAGGGCCACGAAGACAAAGAAGGGACUGCAUCAUCUUUUGUAUGAGGAGAGGCUGGAGGAGCUGGGACCCUUCAGCCUGGGGAAAAGAAGGCUCAGGGAGAUCUCCUCAGUGCCUGUAAGUUUCUGAAGGGAGGUGCUGAGAGAAUGGGUCUAGGCUCUGUCAUAGCAGCUCUACUGUCUGGUUUCAUCAGUGAUAAUGGUUCUAAUCCAGGCACCAUCUAUACCUUUGCUGCAGUGGAUACUACAGACAGGCCUGAGCUGCUGAGAAGAGCCUUAAGUACCUACAGCUGCCUUGGGAUGCUGGAGGAUGCGGCCAGAGCUGCUGACAUGUCUGCUCUGUGGGAAUGGGUGUGGGCAUCUCAGAAGUGCUGUCCAGGCAGCUACGGUUGAGGUGGGAGCUGCCCUCAGGAAGAAUAGACAGAGGCUCUGCGUGUGCUGGAGGUGUCUGUUGUGGUCACAGGAGGUCUAACUCAGGAGUGGAAAGAAAACUAACACUUAUGUCAAACCUAAGUCAGUUCAGGUACUGCUGAUGUAAAGACUGGGGCUGAUAGAGUGGGAAUUGGAGCUGAUGUCAGCUGGUGGAUUGUCAGGGCUCAGAAAAUUCCUCUGAAGCCUUCUCUGCUAUGUGAGGCUGUCCUUAGCUGUUAUUUAUUGAGGUCGUUCUCCAUGUAUUGUCCCACACCACUGGGGCUGUGUGUGCUACUACUUGAAGCCUUCUCAGGAUUGGAGUCCAUAUGCUUCUGCUGUGUUUUUGAGACAACUGUCUUCUCUGCCCUGCUACUUUACCUCUGUGUGAUACUCUGACUGAACAGUGCACUGCAACAAAGUAUGUUCAAGGCCCUUGUUAUAUGGGAAACUGGAACUUGAGAUAGUUCCAAGUAGUUUUUCCGCUGUGGUGAAUCCAGAGUCGACACACAUAGGUAGACAGACUGAACUGUGAAGAGAUAUUUUCAAGAACCUGUUUUUUCAGCGUUCUUGAUUAUUGGCCUCAGUGAUGACGGCAUGUACUCAGCUUUCUCUACAGAAGUUUCCUUCUCCAAUGGUCUGCGUCAGACUGAGGAGGCAGCAGCAUGGAGAUGCUUCCUACUGCUGCUGCCACAUGUACUUGAAGUGUAACCAGGAUUUUCCCUGGGAAAUGCACCUUGUUUGCAGUGGCUAAGAGCCAUGUCUGGGUGCGUUCUCAGGGAAAAACUUCCUAGUCUCCCAAGCAGAAAACUUGCUUUGCUUACUGCAAGUAGCACUUUGCUGCUAUAGUCACAGAGGGAUGCUCUGGCAGGAGCUGCAGGGGGAGGUGUCCUGUUGCUUUGGCAGAUCUGCUGCUUUGAAUGCUGAAAGGAUCCUGUAUCAGACUCAGUCAGGAAACUGCACUGAAAACUAUUUUGUUCAGGUCUCUCUCUGACUCAGGCACCUUUUGACCAGCACAAAAAACUGUCUGGGAAGUUGCAGAGGACCAGCAGUGAAAUAUUUGUCCAGCAAGAGCCAAGGCUUAUGCUGCAGAAGGCACAGUUUUGUGCUAAACUUCAGCAAACACAGCUGCUGUUCUGCAUGUUAACCCACAAACCAAUCAUCUAGGAGAUCUUGUUUCAGAAUUGGCUUCCUGUAGUCAUGUGGUCUCUAGGAUAAACUUGGAAGUUGGUGUCUUGUGUUGCUUUUCCUGAAUUAAAUGUAAUCAUAUAAUGGCUGAGACCUCUGGAGGUCAUCGAGUCCCUCCCCCUUGUAGUAGGUUUGGCUGAGACAGAGGUAUCAGCCUUUGUGGAAACUCGCAAUGCUGUGCUUUGGGUAUGUGAGAAAAGUGACAGCACAGUAAUGCUGGUGCAGAGCAGUGCUUGCACUGAGUCAGGGGCAGUUCUGCUCCUUGAGCCACCCUGUCAGCGUGGUGCUGGGAGGCAGCGCUGACCUAAACUGGCCAAAGGGAAGUUCCACGCCUUAUGGUGUCACCAUCAGUAAUAAAAGCUGGGGAGGAGGAAGGAGAGAGGGCUGUUUGGAGUGCUGGUGCUUUUUUCCUAACAGUUGCACACAAGAGUCCUGCUUCACUGGCAGUGGUGAAUGUCUGCCUGCUGUUGGAAGCAGUGAAUGAGUUCUUUGUGUCCCACUCGAGCAUGCAGCUAUUGCUUUACCCAGCAAACUGCCUGUAUCUACACCAGGAGUUCUCACCUGUACCUUUGCAGUUCUCUCCCCCACCCCAUCUGGGGACAGUAAGCAAGCAGCCGUGUGCUGCGGGCUGCUGCUGGCUGAUACACAGCAGCUCUGCUUGAGUAGGGCGUCCCAUGGCAAGGUACAAAGAUGUUGCAAUUAAAAGGCUUUAAUGACAACAAGCCGCAAAAAUGUAAGGCUGCUACCCUCCAUUAAGUUCUUAUUGCUGACUCAUGACUGACAUUAAACAAAAGCAGGACUAAGUGUGUUUUGCAUCCAGAGUUUUCCAUACAAUUCCUAGCACCUGUAUGCAUGCUGCCUGUGUCUCCUGUAAUGUGUUAACCUCCCAUAUUAUAAGGAAGGAGCACGUCAUUUUGUAUCUGGGGGUGAUAUCCAGAUGUCAAAAAGGCAGACUUCACAGUAACUGCUAUGGUCACUGAGUAUUUUGCUGAGUUACCAAAGAAAAACAAAAGCAAAUUGUAGAAGAGAUGUCAAGAGUGAGGAUGAAACUUUCAGACAAGAUUGUACAAAAAAGAGUGAUGGGGGAGUUGUUGUUUUUAUGCCUCAUGUGUAGGUAAGCAGAUGCACAGAGUUGGAUUAGAGAACCUUCUAAGCUGAGGAGCUCACAGUUCAGAUUGCAUAUCAACAGCAGAAUUUAUCAGUAGGUUUGUGAAGGUAAGAGGAACUUCUGAGUUUGUUGCUCUUGAUGCAGUAAACGUGCCUGAAGAAGUGAUUCUGAAAAAGCCUUUAAGAUUGAAUAUUUGUGAGAGAGAAGUUUCACUGGAGCCUUCUGCUUAUUUUUAACCACUUGUAAAUAUAAAUAUAAACCCCACAAACUAAGUUCAUGUCAGUGAGGAUUUUUUAAAUAAAAAUAAGCCUUUUACUUUUAACUAGGAGCCAAGUAUUUCUAGCAUGUGGGAUGCGUGUGCACUCUUCAGCAUAUUUUUGUUUCCCUAAAACAUGCAGGAGCCCCACAUGCUGGAGCAGUGCACUUUGGUUUCUGGAGCAAAGCAGUCAUGCUGUGUAUCACAGUAUUGACACAUUUUUUUUUUGCUUGAUUUUUGCUUCUUCCUGGCACUGCUUUCAUCAAAGUGUGGUUUUAUUGCAUGUGUCGCUGUUGUAACUCUCAGCACUUUGUGGUUCUGUGUGUUCCACAGAGCAGGCAAAAAAAAAAAA